rnacentral:rRNA from 1 species
AUUGAACGCUGGCGGCAUGCCUAACACAUGCAAGUCGAACGGCAGCAUGUUGAGAUGCUUGCAUCUCAAUGAUGGCGAGUGGCGGACGGGUGAGUAACGCGUAGGAAUCUGCCCUUAAGAUUGGGACAACCCGGGGAAACUCGGGCUAAUACCGAAUAGAAACUCUGAGGAGGAAAGCUGGGGACCUGGAAACGGGCCUGGCGCUUGAGGAGGAGCCUGCGUCCGAUUAGCUAGUUGGUGGGGUAAAGGCCUACCAAGGCGACGAUCGGUAGCUGGUUUGAGAGAAUGACCAGCCACACUGGGACUGAGAGACGGCCCAGACUCCUACGGGAGGCAGCAGUGGGGAAUAUUGGACAAUGGGGGAAACCCUGAUCCAGCAAUGCCGCGUGUGUGAAGAAGGCCUUUUGGUUGUAAAGCACUUUAAGCGAGGAGGAGGCUACUUAGAUUAAUACACUAGGAUAGUGGACGUUACUCGCAGAAUAAGCACCGGCUAACUCUGUGCCAGCAGCCGCCGUAAUAC